CAGCCGCCACGGGAAUACGUAGGGUGCAAGCGUUAAUCGGAAUUACUGGGCGUAAAGCGUGCGCAGGCGGUUGUAUAAGUCAGAUGUGAAAUCCCCGGGCUCAACCUGGGAACUGCAUUUGAGACUGUAUGGCUAGAGUGUGUCAGAGGGGGGUAGAAUUCCACGUGUAGCAGUGAAAUGCGUAGAUAUGUGGAGGAAUACCGAUGGCGAAGGCAGCCCCCUGGGAUAACACUGACGCUCAUGCACGAAAGCGUGGGGAGCAAACAGGAUUAGAUACCCCAGUAGUCCCUGUCUCUUAUAC
rnacentral:rRNA from 1 species